UGAAGUCAAAUUCAGAAAACUUUUCUCGGUAAGAGAAUAUAUGUUAUUUAUAGUUAGGCAUACAUUUUCUUGAAAGAACCUUCUUCAAUACAAGAACGUAGAGCCAAAAAGUGGGGUUUUCUUUAAACUAAAUUUCAAAAAACCGGGACAUUUUGGACUUCAAGACUUCUUUGAUUUUGUAUCUUCUGCAAUUUGACGAUUCAAUGGCUGACAAACGUGUUGAACUGGUUACUUGUGAUGCUAAUGUUUCCACGGAUGAAGUGCCCACAAGCAGUGUAGGAACUCAAACUAAUUUGAGUUUCCUGUUGGGGUUGCCUGGUGUUGCCAAGGAGAAGGCUGAAAGGGAAAAUGAGUCACGUUUGGAUGCCAAACCUGCAGCUAACUGUGACGGCUUUAAGCAGGAUGAAUAAUCCACAUCAUAUUUUUUAUAUGAUUCGUUUUUUUUAACAAAAAAAAUUUACCAAUAUGAAAGAUUAAUAAAUUAAUAU